rnacentral:tRNA from 1 species
UCCCAUGUGGUCUAAUGGUUAGGAUUCCUGGCUUUCACCCAGGCGGCCCGGGUUCGAUUCCCGGCAUGGGUU